AACGAACGCUGGCGGCAUGCCUAACACAUGCAAGUCGAACGAGAUCUUCGGGUCUAGUGGCGCACGGGUGCGUAACGCGAGGGAAUCUGCCCUUUGGUUCGGAAUAACAGAUGGAAACGACUGCUAGUACCGGAUGAUGCCGACAGUCCAAGGAUUUAUCGCCAGAGGAUGAGCCCGCGUAGGAUUAGCUAGUCGGUGUGGUAAAGGCGCACCAAGGCGACGAUCCUUAGCUGGUCUGCGAGGAUGAGCAGCCACACUGGGACUGAGACACGGCCCAGACUCCUACGGGAGGCAGCAGUGGGGAAUAUUGCACAAUGGGCGAAAGCCUGAUCCAGCAAUUCCGCGUGAGUGAUGAAGGCCUUAGGGUUGUAAAGCUCUUUUACCCGGGAUGGUAGUGACAGUACCGGGAGAAUAAGCUCCGGCUAACUCCGUGCCAGCCGCCGCGGUAA
rnacentral:rRNA from 1 species